rnacentral:rRNA from 1 species
AAGAACCUUACCAGGUCUUGACAUACCAUUGACCGGUCUAGAGAUUAGACUUUUCGCUUUCGGGCGACAAUGGAUACAGGUGGUGCAUGGUUGUCGUCAGCUCGUGCCGUGAGGUGUUGGGUUAAGUCCCGCAACCGAGACGCAACCCCCUAUUGAUAGUUGCUAAUAUUAAGUUUAAGGACUCUAUUGAGACUGCCAGCGACAAGCUGGAGGAAGGUGGGGGAUGACGUCAAAUCAUCAUGCCCUUUAUGACCUGGGCUACAAACGUACUACAAUGGCCAGAUACAAAGAGAUGCGAAGCCGCGAGGUGGAGCGAACCUCAUAAAAAUGGUCUCAGUUCGGAUUGGAGUCUGCAACUCGACUCCAUGAAGUCGGAAUCGCUAGUAAUCGCGGGUCAGCAGACCGCGGUGAAUACGUUCCCGGGCCUU